AUUUGCGCGUAAUCUCGCAACGUCGCAACCUUGCAUGGCAACAGCGGAUUUCUUGAAGUGCAGCGACAUUCUAUGGCAGCGAACAAUGUGUAUCCACAUAACCUGUAAUAAGUUUUUGUUCGGUGCAGAAACAACCAUGGAAAACAUUAUAUGGAGAAUAUCUCAUUUUGCAUACGAGUAUUUCGCUGAAAAAGAAAAUUCUGUGAAAUCAACAUUUUGGGCUACAUAGUCGUUGUUAAAGUCAACUCUGUUAAUAUAAAACAGCAUAGAUAUAAUCUAAGUACACCAAGUUCUCAAGCAAAAAAUAUAGGUUAUGUUUCCCAGAAAUCAAAUAUAUUUACAAGAGAAAACUUACGAAAAUUUUUAACAGAGGCCCGUGAUUAAUGUACCUAAUGUCAAAGGUAUAUUUUUUAUUCGAAGUUGUAGGAGUAUGCGGAAAGGAAGAAUUUGAACAAUUUUCUUGUAUCUACAUAACCUAUAAUAAGCUUUUAUUAUUAUUACAGAACAGAUUAUUAGCUUACAUGCCCAUUUUAAAUGAAAGUAUGAAGCAUACCUCUUAUUUUUCGGCACUUUUAAUAUUUUUGCUUGCAGAAAGAUCUGCAGCAAUUGCAAAAUAGAGAUGGAUAGCAAUAAUAACAAGCAGUUUACAUGCAUUCGACCGAACUUGCAAAAACUGGCAGAUAAUAUAUCAAAUUUAUUACCUAAAAACUCAGCCACAGUUUAUGAAAAGCGGUAUGAUUUUUUUUUUUUUUUUUGCGCAGAAACAACCAUGCAAAAUAUAUGGAGAACACCUCAUUGCAUACGAGUAUUUCGCUGAAAAAGCAAAUUCUGUGAAAUCUUUAACACUUUGGGCUGCAUAGUCGUAGUUAAAGUCAACUCUGUUAAUAAAAAACAGCAUAGAUAUAUCUAAGUACACCAAGUUUUCAAGCAAAAAAUAUAGGUUACAUUGCCAAGAAAUCAAAUAUAUUUACAAGAGAAGACUUACCAAAAUUUUUAACAGAAGCCCGUGAUUAAAUGUACAUGAUGUUAAAGGUUUAUUUUUUAUUAGAAGUUGUAGGAGCAUGUGGAAUGGAUAAAUUGAAAAAUAAUGACGGCAUUCAAGACAAAAACGAUACGCUAAUAAUUAAAAUUCCAACGUCUAAAACUGGCAAAGCACGAGAAUUUACAAAUAUGUGUAAAAAUAUUUAUCCAAUUGAAAUAUAGUAAAAAUACCUAAUUUUAAGACCGCACCAUACACCAGACAAAUCAUUAUUUAUACAGUACAUUUGGAUAGUGAAUGCAGCAGCUGCUGCAUUGUACAAAUAUACCUGCAAACACACUGUAACAAAUUAUGCAGACACCUCUUUUGACUAAAAGAUAUAUAUUUAACUUUAUCCAUACGUUGUCAACUUUGUUAAUAAUUGCAAUCUCUAACUUCAUAAGAAAUAUGAAUAAUCUACUUUGGUGUUUUAUAGUAGUAUUAAAUGUUCAUAGAAUAUAAUUGCACUUACUACGAAGUAAGCUUUCCUAGUUUUAAGUUGUUUUCUUUUCUCUUUGAUUAUCUUAAUUUCUUCAGCCUCUAUGUGGCUGUUUUAAUUCCAAAAAAUUGUUUCUGAAUAAACUGAUUCAUACCACUUUUUCUUUCUUUUACUCGAAAACAGUUUAAACUAUAACUCCAAAUAUUUACCUACUUUACAACGUGUCAAGCAUUCGGUUGUUGUAAAUGAUGCAACCAUAAAUACAAAUUUGAACACUGAUAUGACAGGUUUGAGGCUAGGAUGUGGUUUUCAUAUACUCCCAUUACUUGUUGCCUAAAUCUGGCGCGAGGCCAAAAGUUAUUAUUGACGUAUAUAUAUAAAUAUAUAUCUAUAUAUAUAUAAUGGGUUUCUCGAAAACGGCUCUAACGAUUUCGAUGAAAUUUACAGGUUGGGGGUUUUUUGGGUCAAGAAAUCGAUUCAUCAUAGUUUUAACUUCUGAAAAUUACAGCUUCAUACAUUUUCAGCAAUUUUCAGGCAGUGAAUUAUAUUCGUUGCUAGGUAACAUCGGAUGACACUACACGAACACGAGAUUGUUUUAUAAGAGAAGUUUGGGUGACAGUCUGACAGUACGUUUGACGUACCUUUUUAUCUUCAAUUGUACGUACCGAAACAUACUCCACUGUAUAGAGGACGUUAAAAUUCACCCUCUGAGGUGACAAAAUUUACGGAAAACUAAACAAGGUUCGACGGUCAGGGUCAAUAUGUGAUCGUUUUCCGGGAUGGGACCGUAUUAUUUCAGUUUUUGGGCUCAACUUUUCGCACACUUUCGUAAGUGGCAUCUUCGGGAGCAGGGUUGAGAUUGAGAAAUUAGGAAUAACGCAAAAGAGCACGGUAACUCAGUAUGUUAAUCACACCAGAGGCGAAACCAUUCUGGCAGUAAGAAAGUGGUUGUGACCUUUUUCUAGAGUCGAGAGAGAGAACUAGGAAAAAAAGAGAACGACAGAGAGAGAACUUGGGUAACAAAUGAGAUUUUAAUAAAAAUGUCAAGCAAUAAUUCCAGUUUUCCAUUCUUUAAUCUCUACAUGUCACUCAUCACUAUUUAAAACAAAGACUGCUUAUGGAAUUUCUUUUUUAAUGUGUAUUUUUAACUAGCGCGUGUACUUCAAAAUGCAUACUAUACGCAUAUUUAUCUG